rnacentral:rRNA from 1 species
UACAGAGGUCUCAAGCGUGUUCGGAUUCAUUGGGCGUAAAGGGUGCGUAGGCGGCGCGGUAAGUCGGAUGUGAAAUCUCGGAGCUUAACUUCGAAACUGCAUUCGAUACUGCCGUGCUUGAGGACUGGAGAGGAGACUGGAAUUUACGGUGUAGCGGUGAAAUGCGUAGAUAUCGUAAGGAAGACCAGUGGCGAAGGCGGGUCUCUGGA